UUGAUUUCUUUCUUUUUUUUAAAUGUAGAUAAUUAGUGAUCUUUCCUCAUCCUUUAUUCAAUUAAGCAGAUAAAUCUUGGAUUCCACAUAUCUUGUCUACCACUGGAAUACUCCUGAUGUUUUCCCAGAAGCUUUCUUUCUACCAGGUAUUUAUCAUGGCUUAUGCCUAUGUCAUGAUUUGAUCUCCUACCUUCUGCUUCUGCCCCACAUUGCUCUCCUUAUCACCAUUUGUUCUUGUUGUUUUUCUCAGGAUACCAGUUGUGACAGGGGAUGUCACUUGAGACUCAAAGCAUUUUUUUUAAAAGACAGUUUGUCUAUAUAAAAGGUUAUCCCACUCUCCAAAAUAACACAGAAAAAACUGUCUUUUACAGAGAAUGCAUGAAUUGACUUAUACUUAUAUAUAGUUACACUUCUUAAUCUGGUACUUUAAUCAAUUCUUUCCAAAAUAUAUAGAAAGCACCUUCCGUAUGACAUCGGCAUUUCAUGGAGUUGAUGGACAGGGUUGAAAAGAUCACUGAGACAUGAUCUGCUAAAUGAGCUUUAAUCGGCAUAUUAUUUACCAUGUUCAUUAUAAGUAAGAAAGAUUGAGAUCUUUUUUUCUGGUAUGAGCAGAUUUAGUGCUUCUAGAACUAAGAUUAUGCCUCUACCAAGGAAUAGUUCAAAUGUAGUGAAUUAAUAUACAUAAUAUGUUUUAUAUUAGACAGGAGUAAGUACCAGGAAUAAGUGGCUGGCUGUGUUGAUUGAGAUUGUGACCAUAUGUAAGAUGGGCAAUUCUAGAUUUUCAUGAUUUUAAAAUCUUAUUAAAAGACCAUCACAAAUUUGAUAGCUUCCAGUGAUACUAGCAAAGCUUUUCAACCCAGUACCCUACAUUUCAUAGAGCACUUUUGUCUAUUAGUUUUACACAGAGUUGGCAUUCCAUCGAGGAAAAUCUCCAUAGUCUUUCUUUUCUUUGAUUUAAAGGCUGAUAGUAUUCUUCCACAAGGCUUUCUCUAAACACAUUGCACAGAUUCCCUAAGGAUGUGAAUUGUAACACAUUUUCAGUAGUGCAUGGUGUGACAUCAUCAGACUCACACAAGGCUGAUAGUUGAGAACCCAUUCACAAAACAGCAUGGGAAAGCUCAAGCCUUUCAAGGAACCACAAUGUACUUUUGCAAUGUAGCAAAUUGUAAUCCACAGGAGAUGAUGGCAGCCAAAGGAGAAUCUCUUCUUUGUGAGAUUUAGGAAGUAAAGUUAAGGGCUUCACGAUGUAGAAUCUUUUUUUUUUUUCCUUUACAUUAAAAGAACCCUAUAAUUAGUGUUUCUACAGUCAUUGCUGAGAUACUGUUAAGAGAACCAGAUUGGCAGGUUUAAAGGGUAUUUUACUUUCUACAAAUCCUGGGAAGAUACUCUUCCCUGAAUUUUUCACCUCAUGCUUUUACUAGAUGCCAGUUGCAGAGACUAUGUUAUGGCUUGUCUAGGAGAGAAAGGAUAAAUGUGUAAUCCACAUGCUAGUAAGCACUAAACAAUGAAAUAAUAAGCUCCUGGAAGACAGUAAGCAGAUAAGGUAAAGCUCUAACAACUGUUAUAGUGGAACAGUGAUGGUUUCCUAAUAACUAAAGAAAAAACAACCAUAAAGGGAAGGAAGGAUGAGAAAUAUAGGUGGUGGUUGCAAGUAACAUUUAGUAUCUAAGGUGUCAUUUUCCCACCAAGAAUGCAUAUGAAUAAAACCAUUCCCACCACAGCUGAAGUAAUCUGCAAGAGCACUUUGUAGAAGGGAUUCCAUUAAAAAUUGCUUCUAAAAAGACAUUAGCAGAUUUUCUUUCCCUAACUUUGUCAUUUCACAGGUGUAAGAAAUAUAAAUUGUUAUAGUGAUAGCCAGAAGAGAAAUGAUUAAUGAAAUAUUUUUAAUCAGCUAAGAAUGCUGCUUCAGUGACUGUUUUAAGCAGUUUCACAGGGAAAGAUAAUUUUCUUUAAUUAGUAUACUGGCUUUGAAUAAAGGAAGCAACCAGUUUGGUGUUGUUUAGCAUGAACAAAAUAUGUAUAAAAGCAGAUGAAAGAGAUUAACAUGAUAAAGGAAGAAAUUCUCUGCAAGGUAAGGACAGGGAUUUUUCUUGGAUGUUCAUGACUAAUAGUUUCUCCGAAGCCCAGUGAAGAGUGAUUUGUGGUUGGCAUAAUCAUACUGCAGUGAUGCAGGCAUUUUAAAAUUUUUCUACAUAUUUAGGAUUAUGGUUAGUGUUUGUUAAAAACUGCUCAUUUCUCAGUGUGAAUUUGGUUAUUUUGAACGAAAUUUAUAAUUUUUGUUAUAAAAUUAUAAAUUAAAAAUACUGUUUAGACAAUAAAAAAUGAGUGUUACCUGAAUAAGAAGAAUCUGACAAUUCCAUUAACAUAUUUUUUGGCAGAGAUUAUGUAAAAAUUAGAGAUAAUCUCAUUUCCAUUUCUUGCAGGUUCUGAAAAGGUCUAAUUUCUUUUUGGAUGACCCAAUCUUUAGGCAUUAUAUUGCCAGAGAUAUAUAAGUCCCUUCUAAGCUCAUUUGUUGUUGGAAGAAUUUGUUUCCUUGUAUUUAUAGGACUGAAGUCCUGUUCUCUUGCAGACUGCUAACUCAAGAUCACCCUCACCUUCUGGAGGUCACCCCUCUUCAUCAGCAGUCCACAAGUAACUGUCUUGAUUUUUUGUUUUUCUCGAUAAAUAAGCUUCAAAUGAAAUAGGCUUUCGAUGUGACAGUGUUUACAGGAAACAUUAUGCUGUUACGAACUUCCCUUAGAAUCAACCCAUUUGUGAAACACCACAUUAAUAAGAGCAGUAUCUUUGGAGAUUGGAGAGUCCACCAAGGAUGCCCACUGGCUCCCUACAAAGUUUUUUAUGUGAGGACUCGGUCUCAGGUUCAGCAUCACAAUCUUAUUAAGGAUAGAGAAAUAACUUGAGAUUCUGAGAAGAAAAAUAAAUAGUAAGUUCCAAGUCUCUUAUUUUUCCCAUACUUCUAUACGUUAUUCUUAUACGCUUUAUGCUAUAAACACCUUGGGAAACUCCCUUUUUCCCAUAAAAUGAUUUCUUAUCUGGCUCAGAGACUUCGUGUGUGGUCAGAUAAAAGGAAUGAGCUAAUUAUUUGAAGUCAGAAGACACAACCUAGUACCAGACUGGAGAGUUCAAAUGCAAUGCACGCUUUCCUUUAUCUUUCAAGUGAAGAGGCCAGGAAGAUUUUUUUUGAUGAUAUAAGCUCCCAUUGGCAAUCAGACAUUCACUCCAACUUCACCUCCCUUCCUAGCCUCUUUCUUUUGCUGUAAGGAUAUUUUGCAAUAGAGCUAUAAUAACUGAAAGCAAACUGGGCGUCAUUAGACCAGAAAGGGUACCACAGUAAACACUUUGCCUUCUCAAAGAUUCAUUUCUAAAGAACCUCACCCCUAUCAAUUUCCGUCAGUAAGCUGCUACACAUUUCAUGUUAUUCUCAUAGAAUUCCUCUUUUCUUUUAAAGGGCUGUGACUUGGUCACUGGAGGUGGUGUGGGAGAAUGAGAGAGUGAAAUACAUAGGUCAUUUAUUUAAUUAUUCCAAUUACUUCCCUCUAGAUUCUUCCAGAUGAUUCAAAUCUGUCCAUGAAAAUAAGGAGUGUCUCAAGGUCCUAUCACAUAAGUAAAUCAUGUAUCAAAGUAUAGUUUGUUUCCAAAUAUAGCUGACUCUAAAGGAAAAACAAAUUGAAAAGAAAAAUCUCUUGUUGGAAUGUGAAAGAAGAAAAAAUGUUGCAGACGUCCAGGAAAUACCAUCACUAACAUAAAAUAAGAAUCUUUUUUCUCUCUGUAAAGAAUCACAAUUCUCUCAUUGCCUUUAGCUCCAUGUAAUAUUAUUAGUCACUGUAGAAAGUUUUUAUAAACUCUGUCUUAACAGAUCUUGUCUGUCAUUUCUAUGUAUCUGCCUGCCUCAAUGUUUUCCCCCUUUCCUUCACAUUCCAAUAAACUCCUUUUCUUUUUUUUUUUUUACAUUCCAAUGUCUUUGAAUAGAACCUUACUUUCAAUUGAAUCUUAAGCAGGGGUUUCUAGUUCUUCUGUCCUGGCAUUUGGCCCACAAGGAAUAUUUCCCUGAGGGCUGGUGCUUUUGCUGAAUGGGGGAGGGAACACUUCUUCUAUAAGCCAUUUUUUUCUCUCUACUGGGGCAAUUUGCCCAUUCCUUUAGUCUACAGAGAGAGAGUUUGGGUGGCUGCCACUUAGGGUUUCUCCCAAAGGGCCAUUUUCCCAGAGGGAGCUGAGCCUGGGAAAGAAGCAAGAGCAGGAUUCCCUUUAGUUCCAGAGUUGUGAGCUUUUUUCUUUACUUAGUUGUAGAAGAAACACUGCCAACUUGCCACCUUGUUCCUUUUUUCUAUUCUUAUUUUAAAACAAUUCUAAAUAUAGUAGAAGAUUCCAUUUCUUGGCAAGAAAUAGUGUAAAGGAACUUUUUCAAUCACUUUAGGAAGAAGACAGUGUUGAUGUGGUGAUUGGUAUUGUGGCUAUAAAAUAAUGACCAUUUCCUGUCCAAAAAUGUUACUUGGCAUAGGUUUCCAACUCUGGAUAGCAAGAAGGGAUUAAGGAAGCUAGACAUCGGCAGUUCUCCACAUUUCAGUGUGCCCAUUAUCAAUUUUCUCUGCCUCUUCACUUUCUGUAACUCUAAAUAACUUGAAAGUUCUAUGUAGUACACACACACACACACACACACACACACACACACACACACACAAAUAGAUAUACUUAACCAAAACAAACAAACAAACAAACAGAAAAUACAUAUUUAAGGCAAUAUUCUCACAACCCUACUGUCAAAUACCAUUCCUUCCCAGUAUGCUUUGUUCAGCCUUUGGAGUAUUUUUUCCUGGAUUUGUUCAAUGCCUUUGAAUGUAUAUACACAAAUAUAUAGAAUGAUUUUAGAUCUAUUGAUAUCAUUUUGUGAACAUUGUGCUGACUU
rnacentral:lncRNA from 1 species